rnacentral:rRNA from 1 species
UACAGAGGUCUCAAGCGUUGUUCGGAUUCAUUGGGCGUAAAGGGUGCGUAGGCGGCGCGGUAAGUCGGGUGUGAAAUCUCGGAGCUCAACUCCGAAAUUGCACUGGAUACUGCUCCGCUAGAGGGCUGGAGAGGAGAUCGGAAUUCACGGUGUAGCAGUGAAAUGCGUAGAUAUCGUGAGGAAGACCAGUGGCGAAGGCGGAUCUCUGGACAGCACCUGACGCUGAGGCGCGAAGGCUAGGGGAGCAAACGGG